UACGGGGGGAGCAAGCGUUGUUCGGAUUUACUGGGCGUAAAGGGCGCGUAGGCGGCGUGACAAGUCACUUGUGAAAUCUCCGGGCUUAACCCGGAGCGGCCAAGUGAUACUGUCGUGCUAGAGUGCGGAAGGGGCUACUGGAAUUCUCGGUGUAGCGGUGAAAUGCGCAGAUAUCGGGAAGAACACCCGUGGCGAAGGCGGUUCUCUGGGACGGUACUGACGCUGAGACGCGAAAGCGUGGGGAGCGAACAGG
rnacentral:rRNA from 1 species